ACCCAAGCCAGAUAGAAAUAGAAAUUCCUGUAUGUUUUAGAAGAAUUGUUUAUAAUUUGAUAUAAUGUUAUCAAAUUUCUUAUUAUAAAAAAAUUUGACAUCCAGAGCCUGUCUAGGAAGUUCUGUGUUCUUUUCUACACCCUAUCUUCCCACCCCCCACAUUAGAUAGGUUUUCUAAAGAAAAAGAAAUCUUUUCUAAAGGAUUAGAUUCUGAACGAGGAACUGAAAGAGGUUGUGGAAACUUUUUGAUUAAAAAGAGGAAGAAUUAUUGUCUUGGUCAUCUAGUGCUGCAUAACAGAAAUACCACAAGUGGAUGACUUUAACAAAGAGUUUAGUAUUUUGAGUGCCUUCCAGCCUACAGGGCUCAUCUUCUAGCACUAUCAGACAGUAUUCUGUUAUGAUCUUCAUGACUGUUUAGUCCAGUAGACUAGAAGUCUGAAUUCAGGGCGCCGGCUCCAGGGGAAGACUUUCUGUCUCUGUUGGCUCUGGAGGAAGGUCCUUGUCAUCAGUCUUCCCUUAGUCUGGGAGCAUCUCAGCCCAGGAACCUCAGUGAUUGGAUAAUAAAAUUAUCUGAAUUCAUUAUGUACCACAACAUACUCUCUGAGUAGUCAGAAUCUCAACUGGAAAUGAAUGGAACACUCACAAUGCAGUCAUUUGAGGAGAGUUUAUUUACAAAGGGACUGUUCAUAAAGGCGUGGACGGGAUGUGUGAGAACCAGAAGAAAUAGCGCAAGAACCCAGGCAUACCUCAGAGAUAUUGCGGGGUUCCAUUCCAGACCACUGCAAUGAAGUGGAUAUUGCAAUAAAAGUCAGUGUUUUCCAAAUCACUGUUGCAGAAGCAACAGGAACUCCAUGGCUGGUUGUGUUUGUACAGAGGAAAAACAAAUAUGCUAAGGAAUUCUGCAUAUGGCAGGUUUGUAAUAAGGAUCAAACAAGAUAAUGUAUGUUAAGAGCUGGACAUGAAAUCUUUUCUUAAAGGAGGGAAUUCUGCUGCUAAGAACAAUAGGAUUUCGCUUCAGUGGUGAAAUUAUCAUUAUUAUCCUCAAGAGACAGAGAAAUUGAUUGACUGGCUCAGAACAUGAGGAAAUGACCCUGAAAGAAUUAUGGAAGUGUCCAAGUUUCCCUGUUUACAGAAGGGAAGAUGAAUAGUUUUAUCCGCUAUCUAGUAGCAGUCAGUUCACAUCCAUGGUCAUAACUACAUUGGCCUGCUUUUAGAAGAACAGGCUGAAAAUUCCAGAGGACCCGGCUACCCCCACCUCAAAUACCAAGGUCUUAAAGGUCCAUGGUCAGAACUGCAGUGGGCUGCUCUUAUAGGCACUGGCUAAAACUCCAGCAUUGCUCUAGGGACCUGGCCACCUCCAACCCAAAUACCAAGUUCUUAAAGGAUUGAAGUCAUUUUGGCUUGUCCACUGAGUUACAUAUACCUAAAAACCACAAAUACUUGGCGAUGGAAUGGACUUCGCAUUUUUCAGAGCAACAUGAGCUCUUUACAAAUGUCAUCCCAGUGCCUUCUGGAUGCCAUGGCUUCUGUUAAGAAAUCAAUUGUUGAUCUUAUUGAGGAUCCCUGUACAUGGUGAGUCAGUUCUCUCUUGGUGCUUUCAAGAUUAUCUCUGGCUUUUGGCAGUUUGAUUAUAAUGUGUCUUCAUGUGGAUCACUUUGAGUUUAUCCUGCUUGGAGAUUGUUUAGGUUCUUGGAUGCUUAUAUUCAUGCCUUUCAUCAGAUUUGGAAACUGUAUGAUGAUAUGCAUGAUGGCGUUUCACAAGUUCUUUAAAAUGUUUUUAUUUUUCUUCACAUUUUUUUCUUUUUGCUCUUCUGACAAAUAUAAAUUAUCCUAUAUUCACAUUUACUGAAUUUUUCUUUUGCCUGCUCAAAUCUGCUGUUGUAACCCUCAGGUGAAUUUUUCAUCUCAUUUAUUGUACUUUUCAGCUUCAGGAUUUCUUUCAUUUUUUUAAUCAUAUAUAUCUUUUUCUUGUUAUUCUUAUUUGGUGAGCUGUAGUUCUUCUAGUUUCCUUUAGUUCUUUGUCCAUGAUUUCCUUUAGCUCUUUCAGCAUAUAUAAGGCAGUUGACUUAUAGUCUUUGUCUAAUAAAUCAAUGUUUGGGCUUUCUCAAGGACAGCUUUUGUUAAUUUCUUCUUAAUGCUGUUGUGAAUGGAAUUGUUUACUCAAUUUCAUGUGUAGGAUGUUUAUUGCUAGUAUAUAUAAUUACAAUUGAUUUUUUAAUGUUUAUUUUGUAUCCUGAAAGCUUGCUGAGCUCAUUUAUUAGUGAUAAUAGUUUUUUUCUGUGGAUUUCAUAGGAUUUACUACAUGCAAGAUCAUGCCAUCUGCAAAUAGAGAUAGUUUUUUUUCUUCAUUUCAAAUAUGGAUGAUUUUUAAUUAAUUUUCUUACAUAAUUGAUCUGUCUGGAACCUCUAGUGCAAUGCUGAAUAGAAUUUGGUGAGAGCAGAAACCCUUGUCUUGUUCCUGAUCUUACAGGAACAUAUUCAGUCUUUCACCAUUAAGUAUGGUGUUAGCUGUGGAAAUUGUAGAUUUUCUUUAUCAACUUGAUGAACUUCCCUUGAAUUUCUAGUUUGUUAUUUUUAUUACGAAGGUAUGUGUGAGUUUUUCAAAGUGUGUUUCCUGUGUUUAUUGGUAUGAUCAUGUGGUUUUUGCUGUUUAUGUCUGUUUUAUGGUAUAUUACAUUAAUUCAUGUUUGAACAUUAUACACAACAGUUUGAUGAUUGUUUUUCUUUUGGUCUUUCUCAUGAGAACAUAUGACAUUUAUAGUUUUUAGCCAUUAACCCUGAGAUGUGCCAAAGUCACUAUGUCCUUUCCAAAGCUGCAGUGAUGGAGGAUGAUACCUUUUAAAUUUGGGAUUAUGUGUUCUUAUUCUAUAUAUGUAUAUAUAUGUAUGUAUUUUGAAGGGACAUCUUCCCUUUCAUUUCUGAGUAAGGCAUAUGGAAAUUGUGAUUAUAUUUCACCAUGGAAAUUAAUAAAGUUAUUACAAUAUCUAGUCCCCUUUUUGAAUAGCUGUUCUGUAGUCUUUACCAUGGUACUGCUGUGGAAUGUAAGAAAAUUUUAUCUACCUCACAAUCACUAAUGGAAUAGUGCCGACUCUGGGACUUAUGACUUUGCUACCACUUUUGUAUCAUGGGCUGGAAGCUUUGUUGGUACCAUCUGGAUGUUGUUUGGACAUUUCAUUUGAUACAAAACAAAGGUUUAGGACCCCCUGACAGGUAUCUGUCUUAUGAUAACCAGAUGUUUCCACCUGUUUGUGAUAAAAAAAGUCAAACAUGUCUGGCAUAGAAAAAGGGAGUUAUUCCUAAUUUUGGAAGAUCCCUUAAUUGUGUUAAAACACAAUUUGUAGACAUUUGGUAUAUUUUCAAAUGUUCAAAUGGAUAAUGCCAGUAACUCUAUCCAGCAGGUUAGUUUGUUCAGCUCUUUGAUAACAGUCAUUCUGGCAGGCCCAUUUCAAUCCAUUGAUACUUCUAAUCAGGUGGUGUACAAAAAGGUUAUAACUAGAAUUAUUUAUGAUCACAGUAAAAUUUUCCUUAACUUUUUUUUUAGGUUAAAAUAAUUUCUGCCAUGCCCAAUGAUUCUGAACUCUGAGAACUCAACAGGAUUCCUCUGCAAGCACUAGAAUAGAUUCAAAAUUUCUUUUAAGAAAACAUUUGGCCAUGCCUGAAGGCACCCCUACAGCCAGUUCUAUGUGUGGGUGGGCUGGUUUUCUGCCUCAGCAAAAAUACAAGUUAGGUCUCAGAAUUGCCAUAUAACAGAAUAUCAGCUUUGUCUUUAGCUUAUCAGAUAUCUAAAGCAUGAGGGUUUCACUUUAAUCAAUAGCUUGGGAUAUCAGAAUUCCAGACAUAUUUGAGAGCUCAACCUUGAAGCAACUGCUAUGCAGCUCCUGCCAAAAGUACAAUUGAUACAACUGUUAUUUGAGAGAAUGCCUGAGCUACAUUAAAGCCUUCUAAAUUCUUGCGGUUCUAUCCCUAUACCAAGUUAGAUCUACAGAGUGCAAUAGGCUUGGGCUUUAUUAGCUGAAAUCCCACUGGAAAUGCUUUCACUUGAGCUACAAUUUAAUGAUUUGACCUUGACUUUUAUUGUGGGUCUAGAUAAGACACAGCUUUUUGAAGAACUUCGUGUAUUUUGUGGAAAAAAAAGAAAAUGACCCUAAAAGAUAUUGCCAACUAUGUUAAUCUGUAUAAAUAAUGGUAGUUGUUAGGUGCUGUUGAGUCAAUUUUUGACUCAUAGUGACCCAGUGUGACAGAGUAAAACUGCCCCAUAGGGUUUUGUAGGCUGUAAUCUUUUAUUUUUUUUUUUCUGAAAUGGGGUCAGUAUGUGUAUAUUGUAUUCUAACCUGCUUAUUCCCACAUAAAAUAUGUCAUUAGUCUCAUGAUGUGAUUAAAUAGUCUCCUACAAUAUCAAUUUUAAAAGCUGCAUAGGUUGUUGUUGGGCCAGGUGGCAACUAACAAUAGUUCCAUAUAGUUGUGACAUAAUUAUUUAGUCAAUCCCUAUUUGCUGGAUAAGUAAGUUGUUUUCAAUAUCAUUAUUAUAAACAAGAUUGUGAUAAACAUUGUUGAAAAAUCUUUUGUGGGCAUUCAUAAUGAUUUCUUUAAGAUGCGUUAUUGGAAGUAAGUUGUUUGGCCAAUGGCUUUUAAUACAUAUUGCCCAACCGUACCAAUUUUUUAUUCCCACUAGCAAUGUAUGGAUUGACACGGUGGCUGCAACAAUGGGCUCAAGCAUAGCAACAAUUGUGAGGAUGGUGCAGGACCAGGCAGUAUUUCAUUCUGUUGUACAUAGGGUCACCAUGAGUCAGAACUGACUCGACAACACCUAACAACAACAACAGCAAUGUCUGAGAGUUCCACUUCCCUACAUCAACACAGGGUAUCAUACACUUUUUUUAAUUGGAAAUGAAUUAUUUUAACAUGCAUUUCUUUUAUUGCUAAUGAAGUUGAACUUUUUUUCAUAUAUUUAUUGGUUGUUUGUUUUUCUUUUGUGAAUGUCCAUUUACUUUGCUUAUUUUUGAUUAUUUAAUCUUUUUUAAUUAUUAUAAUUCUUAUUAAAUAAUAUUUGAACGCUUUGUGUAGGCUGUAAUCUUUACAGGAGCAGUUCAACCCUUCUUUUCUCCUGCGGAGCCACUGGGUGGGUUAGAAGCGCUGUCGUUUUGGUUAGCAACCAAGCAUUUAACCAUUGCACCACCAGGGUCCUUAUAAACAAUGGAGGAUGAUAAAAAAUUGUCAACUAUUAGCCCCUCAUCAGUAAUUCUUUUUUAAAAAAUUUUUUAUUUUACUUUAGAUGAAGGUUUACAGAGCAAACUAGUUUCUCAUUAAACAAUUAAUAUACAUAUUGUUUUAUAGCAUUGGUUGCCAACCCCACAAUAUGUCAACACUCUCCUUCUUGACCUUGGGUUCCCCAUUUCCAUUUGUCUAGCUUUUCUGUCCCCUCCUGCCUUUUCGUCCUUGCCCCUGAGCUGGUGUGCUUAUUUAUAAUUUUCAAUUUAAAGGUCUUCACCUCCUUGGUUAAAUUUAUUCCUAGGUAUUUUAUUCUUUGAGAUGCUAUUGUAAAAGGAAUGGCCGUCUUAAUUUUCUUUUCACAUUGCUCAUUGCUGGUGUAUAGACCAACUGAUUUCUGUGUGUUGGUCUUGUACCCUGAAAUUUUGCUGAAUUUUUUUGUUAGCACUAGUAGCUUUCCUUUGGAUUCAUGAAGAUUUUCUAUAUAUAAUUAUCGUGACAUCUGUGAAUAGAGACAAUUUUCCUUCUUCUUUUUGAUUUGGGUGCCUUUUAUUUCUUCUGGUUUAAUUACCCUGUCUAGGACUUCCAGCAUGAUAUUGGAGCAGUGGUGAAAGCAGGCAUCCUUUUCUUGUUCCUGAUUUUAGGAGAAAAGCUUUCAGUCUUUCACCAUUGAGUAUGAUAUUCUCCUUGGGUUUUUAAUAAAUACCCUUUAUCACGUUGAGGAAUUUCCCUUCUAUUCGUGAAAGAAUGUUGGAUUUUGUCUAAUGCUUUUUCUGCAUCAAUAAGAUGAUCAUUUUUUUCUUUAUUCUAUUAAUAUGGUAUAUUACAUUGGAUUGAUUUUCACAUUUUGAACCACCUUUGUAUUCCUGGAAUAACUCCCACUUGGUCAUGUGUGUAACCAUUUUAAUAUGCUGUGGGAUUUGCCUUGCUAGAACUUUGUUGAGAUUUUUACAUCUAUAUUUACAAGACAUAUUGGUCUGUAGUUUUCUUUUCUUAUGGUGUCUUUAUCUGGGUUUGGCAUCAGAGCAAUACAGGUAUCAUAAAAUAAGAGGCAGUGUUCUACCCUCCUCUACUUUUUGAAAGAGUUUGAGAAGGAUUAAUACUAAUUCUCCUUUAAAUUCACCACUGAGGCCAUCUGGUCCUGGACUUUUCUUUGUUUGGAAGCUUUUGAUUGCUGUUUCAAUCUCUUUCCUUUUUAUGGGUCUGUUAGGAUUUCCUGUUUCUCCUUGAGUCAGUUUAGGUAGUUUGUAUGUUUCUAAUAAUUUAUAUAUUUCAUCUAGGCUAUUUAGUUUAUUGUCAUAAAAUUGUUCAUAGUAUUUCCUCAUGAUCUUUUAAUUUCUGAAAGAUUGGUAAUAAUGUUGUCAUGUUCAUUUCUGAUUUUAUUUACUAAUAUCUCCUCUUUUUUUUUUUCUUUGUCAGAGCAACUUGAAGUUUGUCCAUGUUGUUGAUUUUUUUGAAGAAACCAACUUUUGGUUUUUUUGAGCCUCUUCAUUGUUCUGUUCUCUGUUUCAUUUACCUAUGCUUUAAUAUUAAUUAUUUACUUCCUUCUAUUUGCUUUUUUUUGGCUCUUCCCUUUCUAGUUUCUCAAGUUAUAAAGUUAGGUUAUUGAUUUGGGCUCUUUCUUCUCUUUUAAUGUAGGUGUUUAUAGCUAUAAAUUUUUUCCUGAGUACUUCCUUUGCUGGUUUUGGUAUGUUGUGCUUUCAUUUUCAUUAGCCUCUAAGUAUUUUCUGAUUUCCCUUAUUAUUUCUUCUUUGACUCAUUGAUUGUUUAAUAGUAUGUUGUUUAAUUUUCACAUUUUUGUACAAUUUCCAGUUUUCUUUCUAUUAUUGAUUUCUAGUUUCAUUCCACUAUGGGAGGAGAAAAUACUUUGUGUGAUACCAGUCUUUUAAAAUUCAUUGAGACUUGUUUUGUGACCUAACAUAUGGUUUGUCCUGGAGAAUGAUCCACAUGCAUUGGAGAAGAGUAUAUAUCCUAUUGUAGUUGGGUGAAGUAUUCUUUAAAUGUGUAUUAGGUUUAGUUGAUUCAUAGUAACAUUUGGAUCCUCUAUUUCCUUCUUAAUCUUCUGUCUAGAUGUUCUAUCUGUUAUUGAAAGUGGUGUGUUGAAAUCUCCAACUGUUAUUGUAGAACUGUCUAUUUCUUUCUUUAAUCCUCUCAAUGUUUGCUUCACAUAUUUUAGGGUUCUGCUAUUAGGUUUAUAUUUAUUUAUAAUUGUCAUACCUUCUUCAUGAAUUGAUCAGUUUAUCAUUAUAUAAUGCCCUUCUUUGUCUCUUAUAACAGUUUUCAAUUUAAAGUCUAUUUUGUCUGAUAUUAGUAUAGCCACCCUGGCUCUCUUUUGGUUUCUGCUUACGUGGAAACCUUUCUGGUGUUCUUACUGAAUGCUUUGGGUGGUCAAUGAGGUUCUCCACUCUGGUUGCUGAAAAAAUGACCAUUUCUCAAUCCUGUGUGAGUUCUGUCAGUUCAGUUUACUGUCCCCUCCAGUAGUUUUUCUUUAGCUGGUAUUUAUUCAUUAUCUGAUCUCUCAUCCUAUGAAUAUGCUCUGCUUCUUAUUAUUUAGCUGAAAACUCAAGAUUCCCAAGUAUUCCUUCCUCUCUGAUAUUCUCCCACCAUUCUGGGUGCCUCAGCCUCCCUAAACUCUGAUCUGACUCUCCUUAUCUCGAGCAUUCUUCAUGAACUUGGGCUUUGUUGCAUCUUUAGUUAAUGUCAGUUCAUCACUGGUGUCAAAUAUUCUGAAGAUGGAAUCAAGACUUUCCCUUAUUUAAAGUUUUCUACCUGUGAACUCGUGAGACUCUAGUGAGCUAUCCAUGUUUUAGAGCCCAGCCAUCAAACUUCCAAACGACAGGAGCUUCUUUCUGCUUUAAAGCCUAGAUACCAUCAUUUUGGAUCAUCGGGGAGUUCUCUUUGAUCUCUAGCUUUACCUCUGGGUUUCCAAUCCUUGAUUUAUGCCUCUCUAUAUUUUUAUAUCAUGUACCCCCAGCAAUUGGUGGGCCAUUUCUUGCACUUGUUGUAGCUGUUGUAUCUCAGCGCCCUGUCUUUGGUUUAUUGCCCCAUCCUGUGGUCUGUUCCUGUCAUUUAUUCAGUGAGGGCCUGGUGUAUCUCUGAAGCCUCUUAGCUAUCCUGCCCUGCCACCAGACUUUGGUAUGCUGCCACUAUUCAGUUAGUGAAAGUCCUGUGGGAAUAGAUCAGUUAGUUGUUACAGACUUGCUCUGUGGUUACGGCUUUGCAGGAUCCUAAUCCGCCAUGCCGGCCCACAUAUGCUAGUUAAAAGUUAGUUAAUAGAUUGAUUGGCUUAUCUUUCCUUAGUCUAUGACAUGUUUGCUAUUCUUCCUGCUUUGCUUGGGGAAGAAAGCAGGUAUGUGCCUGUUCCCUCCUAAAAAAAAGUCUCAUGCCUUUGUGGGUUUUAGAUCAUUUGGGUUCCUUUGCAUCCACCUUUUUAAUGUGUUAAAAAUAUGAUUUUUGUGGUUUAUACCACUUUUUCUUAUUUUUACAGUGGGAAAGAUAGGCUUUUGAGACUUUCUAAAUUGAAACCAAAUGUGAAAGACUCCCAUGUAGUAUUUUUCUGUUUUAUUUUUUUUAAUUUAUAUAUUUUCCUCCACCUCGCCUACUAUCCAUGCAAACCCUGAAAAUAAAUAUGCUUUCAUUCCUCUACACUUCUCUAUGAAAAGAAAAACUUUAAUGUGUUAUUUUCUACAUGUAGGUCACCUCACCUGAGAGGCAUCGUUUUAGGGAAAGCAUAAAAGAUGCUUUAGCUCCUUGUUGAAUUAAAAAUAGCUCUCAGCCAAGGUAAAAUAUUGCCAUGCAAAUUGGAGUAAUAAGCAAAAAGUUAUUAGUGCUGAGAAUAAAUACCUAAAGUCUGGUAUUUAUCAUUGUUUUACUUUAAUUUCUGAACUGACAGAUGAUAAUUGCUUGGGCAAUUAAAAUAAUUAGGAAAAUGUGGAGGCACAAAAGGAGACGCCUUUUAGACAUGCAAUUUAAAUGCAUAAGGAAAAAUUCACGUGUGGUUGUUGCACCUCAUUCUGGAGCAGACUGAUUACCAGGUGUUUUUUAGUGGGCUGAUGAUUGAUAGGUUACACAUCAUCUGAGUUGUGUCUGGGAACGAGGCCUGCAAGAGACAGCCUUACCUCAAAAGGUAAGUCUAGGCAUAAAGAAGGCUUCUGGUGAUCUUGUAGUUUAUAUUCUGUAAAUGCCUCGGAUGAUUUUCAGUACCCAAGUUUGUUCGAUAUCUUGUAAAUUUGCAGUGCGUUUUUUGGAAUAGACAAUUUUGUACUACACGUAAACAAGGAUAGGAAAAUAUGAGUAAAGUCUUCGGGUGAUCUUACCGUUGUAAAAUGCUUAUCCACUUUGUGAGCUGCAGGGGACAGUCUGGGGGAGGCUGUGGAAAGAAUUAGAAGAUUGACAGUGGCUUUGUGAGAGAAAUGACAGUUCGUGUGAAUAGAAUAUUCUUAGGUAAGAUAGGCCAACCUUAAUUUAGAGAGAAUACACCUUAAAAUCAAUCAGGGGGCAUUAACUGAGAGAACCACUUUGGUGUCUGUUUGCACAAAAAAAACUUAAGCUACUCUAUAUUUGGCUGGGAUAGUGAUAGCUGGGAUUGGAGGCAGAGAUUGAUGAUACCAGUUUCUAAGGAGAGACCAUUUCAGAAGUAAAUAGUAUUUUCUUAAAAUUGUGUAAAAUUUGCUCUAUUAGGCAUGACUUAUUUAGUUCAGGUAUGCUUUCUAUUAAGUUACUCAUUCAGAAUAUCUCAGUAGACUUCUGAUAGUUGUAUGCACAAAUACCAAAUUAUUUAUUUCAGUUAACACUCCCUUGAUUUAACUGAUUUAAAGGUAUAUUCUAUCAAAAUUAAAACUGGCCUUUAUUAAAUAGGAUUUUUUUCUUCCCCGCAGAAGCUCAUUUAUCAUAUUAAACCCCAGCCAGACAGGACAUGAAAUACUUUUGUGCAGUUUCUAUUCAUCUAUUGUCCAGGUACAGGUGAAGAUAAACAAGGUCAUCCCAUAGCAAAAUUGAGAAGAUGAUUAGGUUUGAAAUGAGAGUAUUCAGUGAAUUUGGACAAGAGAAGCCUUACUAAAAAUGAUGCUAGAUGAUACUAGGGUCAGCAACAAUCAUUUGAGAGAGAUGCUUGAGUGUGAUAAGCUGGGCAGCUUAUUUCAAAAUAAAUUAAUAUGCCAUUCUGUUGUCCAUUACUUAAACAUGAUAAAUGAAACCAAAUAAAUGACUGAUUAAAAAAUAACUCUCUCAAAUGACAUUUAGGAAGGUGUUUAAACUAACAACACUAGUCAAUCACCAGUAUUUAUUGAAUGCUCACUUCUUUAUGUUAUGUUAUUAAGCACAAACAUUUAUUGAGUGUCUACUCUGUGCAGAUCACUCUGUAAGUUACAGGGAACACUGAACUCAGCAUUUUGGAAUAAGCAGGGUGUUCCUGAAUAAACAGAAGGCGUGGUCCCCACCUAUCAAAGCAGUGCAAAUUAACAGAGUAUAAAAUUUAGGUGUGAUUAUACACAAAGCAAGGAGGUGAUCUGAGUAGGGUAAGCAUAACUACAGAAAGUGUCAACUUGGUUGGCAAGCAAGUUAAAACUGUUGUAGCCUCAGUAGGUUUGCUCCAUGAAUAGGACUAUAUUUUGAAGCCCUACCAGAAUGCCCUUUAUGUUCAAGCAGCAAUUUACUUGCCUUUAUCUGCUCAGAGUAGAAAUACCAUCUCAGAGACAUGAAUGAAAUUUUCAGCAUACUUUCUCAAAAGAUUUUUUUGUGAGUUCUUUAGAUUUUAGAUUUUUUUUCUUUGUUCUAGGAAGUACAUCAAGUUCUGAGUCAAAGCCCAAAUUAGUACUGCUAGUGAUUCUCUUAAGAGAUGACAGAAGUCUAAAGUAGUUUGGUGUCAUUGGACUUCUUCUUCUCAACCAAAGGACUGGAACAAGGGUUGCUGCACUGUGAAUACAUGAAUCUUGUAAACCAUACUAUGGAGAUCUACCCUCAAAAGUUCUUCCCAAUCAUCCAUCCUAGUUUCCUUACGGAUAAAAUUCUUUGGAUAUUUUAAAACUUUGGCUGGAAUUUACAUUGAUUUGAGAUUAAACCAAAAACUGAACCUGUUGCUUUCGAUUCUAUUCCUACUCAUAGCGAUAGUAUAGGACAGAGUAGAACUGCCCCAUAGGGUUUUCAAGGAGGGCCUGGUGGAUUUGAACUGCUGACCUAUUGGUUAACAGCCAUAACUCUUAACCACUACACCACCAGGCUUUCUGACUUGAGAUUAGAGCUGUGGGACUGGUGAGGAGAGAAAUCUGUAAUUCGUAGCAUUGGAAAACCAAACUUCUAAAACGGCCUUGGCAGCAACGGCCCCUCUCAGCAGUUAUGUAUCUGUUCCAAAUUUGGCUUUGGAUAGACCUUGUUGUUAUAUCAACUUUGCUAUGAAAUAUGCUUAAUUCAUCUCAUUUGCUUUUCUGAAUUUUUUUUUUUAGCUUAAAUAUGGAUGUGAGAUAAUUUUGGAAGUAAGGAAUAACAUUUAGCAAAUCCAAAAAAUACUCUUCCAUUUACAAAUCAGUUUCAAAAACAACAUGUUAAUUUAAAUCACCCUUUGAGCCUAAUCAGAGGACUUAUCUGUGAAAGCAGUUGACUGAUCUCGGCUCCCUGGGGUUAACUCUGAAGCUAUUUUUGAAAUUCAAACCUGCUUGUAUGUUUCAAAUAUAUUUUUAUUAAUUUGAAUCCCUUAGUCUCCCAUAAACAAAGCACAACUUGCCAGCUAAACAGUAUAUAAUAAACAUGGAUUUUAGAGAUAAAUAGAAGAUAUUUAAUAUAUUUACUAAUUGUUCUUCCCUGCUGUGAUCCCUAUGCCACAUAGAACCUGUGAUAAGAAUGGUAAUCUAUCUUUUAUGCUUUUCAAAGAGUUCUAGCGGGGAGGUCUUCAAUUUUUACUGAGACUUUAAAUAAACCAUGAUGGCAUUCUGGAAUAUAUCUAGGUUGGGAUUUCUUUCCAAGCCAGUUUUUGAACAGAAAGAAACACUUUCAAGCAAGAGCUCUUCCAGUAUCUACUAUGAAGUCUUUGGUCAGUUGCCUCAGUGAAUAAUCCAUUCACAGCCUGUCCUUCCACAAUGAACCGUUUAGAGUAGUUUUAAUGAUUGUGCUAUGACUUCUCAGUAUGAAGAUUUGAAAAUAGCAAUAGUAAAUCUGUUCUUUCAAACCACAAUAGGCGGUGUCACAGAGUCUGAGAUACAAGCAUACUAUAUGGAGGUUGCUGUUUAACCUCUGAUGAAGUUAUUCCCUAGGUUUUGAAAGAGAAAGAGAGGAAGGAGGGGACCUCAGUCUGGAGAUGGUUACACUCAGGUAUUAGGUAUAGUCAGUGCUAAUCCUGAAAGGGAAAAGAAAGUUCCAGUGAGAUU